rnacentral:rRNA from 1 species
AUGGCUCUUCUUCCUCCUCUGCUUCUGUCCUGCAUCUUGGUGCUGGCUCUCCCAGCGUUUCAUUUUGCUGCAGGGCCGGCGGUGGUGAUGGUAGGGGGCGUCACGUUCCACGUAACCAACAAGUGCCCGUUCCCGGUGUGGCCGGCGGUCGCGCCCAACGCCGGCCACCCCGUACUCGCCGCAGGCGGCUUCUUCCUUCCUCCGGGGCAGUCGGAGCGCGUCGGGGCUCCGGCCACCUGGAACGGCCGCUUCUGGGGCCGCACCGGCUGCACCUUCGCGGGCAACGCCGCCCGCUGCCUCACCGGCGACUGCGAUGGCCGCCUCGCCUGCAACGGGUCCGUCGGCACCCCUCCCGCCACCCUCGUCGAGGUGAGCCUGCACGAGGACCAGAGCAAGGGGAGCUCCUACGACGUGAGCGUGGUGGACGGGUACAACCUCCCGGUGGCCGUGUGGACCAGGCCGGCGAACCGCAGCGGCGACUGCUUCAUCGCCGGGUGCGCCAAGAACGUGAACGCGGUGUGCCCGCCGGAGCUGCAGGUCACGAGCGGCGCGGGCAAGAAGGUGGUGGCGUGCAGGAGCGCGUGCCUGGCCUUCGGGCUGGACGCCUUCUGCUGCCGCGGCGCGUACGGCACCGCGGAGACGUGCCGGGGCAGCGUCUACUCGCGGAUCUUCAGGGACGCCUGCCCGGCCUACUACAGCUACGCCUACGACGUGGCCGCCGCCACGGCACGCUGCUACGCGCAGGAGUACGUGGUCACCUUCUGCCCGUCCAGAUGGGGCGAUCGUGUGGCCCAGAUUUGA